rnacentral:misc_RNA from 1 species
UUCGAGCGUCAUUUCAACCCUCAAGCCUAGCUUGGUCUUGGGCUCUGCCGGCAACGGCUUGCCUUAAAAUUAGUGGCGGUGCCAUCGAGCUCUACGCGUAGUAAUACUCUCUCGCGUCUGAGCCUCGGCGGACGCUUGCCAGCAACCCCCAACUUUCUAUGGUUGACCUCGGAUCAGGUAGGGAUACCCGCUGAACUUAA